rnacentral:rRNA from 1 species
AACGAACGCUGGCGGCAGGCUUAACACAUGCGAGUCGAGCGGGCCCUUCGGGGUCAGCGGCGAACGGGUGAGUAACGCGUGGGAACGUGCCCUUUUCUCUGGAAUAGCCUCGGGAAACUGAGAUUAAUGCCGGAUACGCCCUUUUGGGGAAAGAUUUAUCGGGGAAGGAUCGGCCCGCGUUGGAUUAGGUAGUUGGUGGGGUAACGGCCUACCAAGCCGACGAUCCAUAGCUGGUUUGAGAGGAUGAUCAGCCACACUGGGACUGAGACACGGCCCAGACUCCUACGGGAGGCAGCAGUGGGGAAUCUUGGACAAUGGGGGCAACCCUGAUCCAGCCAUGCCGCGUGAGCGAUGAAGGCCUUAGGGUUGUAAAGCUCUUUCAGCGGGGAAGAUAAUGACGGUACCCGCAGAAGAAGCCCCGGCUAACUCCGUGCCAGCCGCCGCAGUAA